GCCAACACACCUGGAAGAAGCGACAGGUAGGUUAUGACGAUAAUAUUUGUAGGAAGGUUAUGCCAAGAAUAUUUGUAGGAAGGUUAUGCCAAGAAUAUUUGUAGGAAGGUUAUGCCAAGAAUAUUUGUAGGAAGGUUAUGCCAAGAAUAUUUGUAGGAAGGUUAUGCCAAGAAUAUUUGUAGGAAGGUUAUGCCAAGAAUAUUUGUAGGAAGGUUAUGCCAAGAAUAUUUGUAGGAAGGUUAUGCCAAGAAUAUUUGUAGGAAGGUUAUGCCAAGAAUAUUUGUAGGAAGGUUAUGCCAAGAAUAUUUGUAGGAAGGUUAUGCCAAGAAUAUUUGUAGGAAGGUUAUGCCAAGAAUAUUUGUAGGAAGGUUAUGCCAAGAAUAUUUGUAGGAAGGUUAUGCCAAGAAUAUUUGUAGGAAGGUUAUGCCAAGAAUAUUUGUAGGAAGGUUAUGCCAAGAAUAUUUGUAGGAAGGUUAUGCCAAGAAUAUUUGUAGGAAGGUUAUGCCAAGAAUAUUUGUAGGAAGGUUAUGCCAAGAAUAUUUGUAGGAAGGUUAUGCCAAGAAUAUUUGUAGGAAGGUUAUGCCAAAAUGGAAACAAAGGCAGCAGAGGGCAGCUUCGUAGAUCCAAGUCUCCCUUCCCUCAUCUUCCGUUCCAUUUCCGUCUUCCAUUCAUUUUUUUUCCAACCCAAAAUAUAUGACCCACUGGAACUUUCAAAACCACAACAUUUAACAGACAGAGACACAGACAGAAAGGUAGAGACAGACAGACACAG